CCUACGGGGCGCAGCAGUGGGGAAUAUUGGACAAUGGGCGAAAGCCUGAUCCAGCCAUGCCGCGUGUGUGAAGAAGGCCUUCGGGUUGUAAAGCACUUUCAGUGGGGAAGAAAGCCUUGGGGCUAAUACCCUCGAGGAAGGACAUCACCCACAGAAGAAGCACCGGCUAACUCCGUGCCAGCAGCCGCGGUAAUACGGAGGGUGCGAGCGUUAAUCGGAAUUACUGGGCGUAAAGCGCGCGUAGGCGGUCUGAUAAGCCGGUUGUGAAAGCCCCGGGCUCAACCUGGGAACGGCAUCCGGAACUGUCAGGCUAGAGUGCAGGAGAGGAAGGUAGAAUUCCCGGUGUAGCGGUGAAAUGCGUAGAGAUCGGGAGGAAUAGCAGUGGCGAAGGCGGCCUUCUGGACUGACACUGACGCUGAGGUGCGAAAGCGUGGGUAGCAAACAGGAUUAGAUACCCGGGUAGUC
rnacentral:rRNA from 1 species